CCUACGGGAGGCAGCAGUGAGGAAUAUUGGUCAAUGGACGAGAGUCUGAACCAGCCAAGUAGCGUGAAGGAUGACUGCCCUAUGGGUUGUAAACUUCUUUUAUAUGGGAAUAAAACGUUCCACGUGUGGGAUUUUGUAUGUACCAUAUGAAUAAGGAUCGGCUAACUCCGUGCCAGCAGCCGCGGUAAUACGGAGGAUCCGAGCGUUAUCCGGAUUUAUUGGGUUUACAGGGAGCGUAGGUGGAUUGUUAAGUCAGUUGUGAAAGUUUGCGGCUCAACCGUAAAAUUGCAGUUGAAACUGGCAGUCUUGAGUACAGUAGAGGUGGGCGGAAUUCGUGGUGUAGCGGUGAAAUGCUUAGAUAUCACGAAGAACUCCGAUUGCGAAGGCAGUUCACUGGACUGCAACUGACACUGAGGCUCGAAAGUGUGGGUAUCAAACAGGAUUAGAUACCCCAGUAGUC
rnacentral:rRNA from 1 species